rnacentral:rRNA from 1 species
UGCCUACGGGAGGCAGCAGUGGGGGAUAUUGCACAAUGGGGGGAACCCUGAUGCAGCGACGCCGCGUGAGCGGUGGAGUACUUCGGUAUGUAAAGCUCUGUCAGCAGGGAAGAAGAUGACGGUACCUGACCAAGAAGCCCCGGCUAAAUACGUGCCAGCAGCCGCGGUAAUACGUAGGGGGCAAGCGUUAUCCGGAUUUACUGGGUGUAAAGGGAGCGUAGACGGCAGCGCAAGUCUGGAGUGAAAUGCCGGGGCCCAACCCCGGAACUGCUUUGGAAACUGUGCAGCUCGAGUGC